ACAGAUCGUUCAGAGUUUGAUCCUGGCUCAGGACGAACGCUGGCGGCGCGCCUAACACAUGCAAGUCGAACGGAGUUAUUAAGUUAGAUCCCUUCGGGGUGACGAUUUCUUAACUUAGUGGCGGACGGGUGAGUAACACGUGAGCAACCUGCCUAUCAGAGGGGGAUAACGUUCUGAAAAGAACGCUAAUACCGCAUAACGUACAAAACUGGCAUCGGUUUUGUACCAAAGGAGCAAUCCGCUGAUAGAUGGGCUCGCGCCCGAUUAGGUAGUUGGUGAGGUAACGGCUCACCAAGCCCACGAUCGGUAGCCGGACUGAGAGGUUGAACGGCCACAUUGGGACUGAGACACGGCCCAG
rnacentral:rRNA from 1 species